rnacentral:rRNA from 1 species
GACGAACGCUGGCGGCGUGCUUAACACAUGCAAGUCGAACGCUGAAGCUCAGCUUUUGUUGGGUGGAUGAGUGGCGAACGGGUGAGUAACACGUGAGUAACCUGCCUCCUUCUUUGGGAUAACGCCCGGAAACGGGUGCUAAUACUGGAUAUUCACUGGUCUUCGCAUGGGGGUUGGUGGAAAGGGUUUUUCUGGUGGGGGAUGGGCUCGCGGCCUAUCAGCUUGUUGGUGGGGUGAUGGCCUACCAAGGCUUUGACGGGUAGCCGGCCUGAGAGGGUGACCGGUCACAUUGGGACUGAGAUAGGGCCCAGAAUCCUACGGGAGGCAGCAGUGGGGAAUAUUGCGCAAUGGGCGCAAGCCUGAUGCAGCGACGCAGCGUGAGGGAUGGAGGCCUUCGGGUUGUGAACCUCUUUCGAUAAUGGUCAAGCCGCAACAAUGGUUGUGGUGAGGGUAGUGGGUAAAGAAGCGCCGGCUAACUACGUG